GAUGAACGCUGGCGGCGUGCCUAACACAUGCAAGUCGAGCGGAAAGACGAUGAGCUUGUGCCUUUCCCGUUAGCGGCGGGCGGGUGAGUAACGCGUGGAUCACCUUCUUAUCUUUCGGGGAUCAUCACGGAAAUCCGGCUCCAAUACCAGAGAAUAUAUUGCACCGCAUGGUGCAAUGGAUAGAGACGGCUUUUGUGUCUGUUAUAGCUGGUUCCGGGCCGGAUUAGCUAGUUGGUAAGGUCACGGCCUACCAAGGCUACGAUGCGUAGCCGACCGGAGAGGCUGAUCGGCCACACUGGAACUGAGACACGGUCCAGACUACUACGGGAGGCAGCAGUAGGGAAUCUUCGGCAACGGGCGAAAGCCUGACGCAGCAAUGCCGCGUGAGUGAAGAAGGCCUUCGGAUCGUAAAGCCCUGUUGUUGGGGAAGAACAGCUGUGGAAGUAAACAUGGACGUCUUGACGGUACCUAAUCAAAAAGCAACGGCUAACUACGUG
rnacentral:rRNA from 1 species